GACAGAGGGGGCAAGCGUUGCUCGGAAUUACUGGGCGUAAAGGGCGCGUAGGCGGAAUGGCAAGUCGGUCGUGAAAUCCUUCGGCUCAACCGAAGAACGUCGAUCGAAACUGCCGUUCUUGAGGAUUGCAGAGGAGACUGGAAUUCCCGGUGUAGCGGUGAAAUGUGUAGAGAUCGGGAGGAACACCGGUGGCGAAGGCGGGUCUCUGGGCAAUUCCUGACGCUGAGGCGCGAAAGCGUGGGGAGCGAACGGG
rnacentral:rRNA from 1 species